UGUGGUUAAGUUAAUAAGGGCACACGGUGGAUGCCUUGGCGUUAGGAGCCGAAGAAGGACGCAGCGAACUGCGAUAAGCCUCGGGGAGUGGUAAGCACACUUUGAUCCGGGGAUCUCCGAAUGGGGAAACCCACCAUCUGUAAUGGGAUGGUAUCCUUCACUGAAUACAUAGGUGAUGAGAGGGCAGACCCGGUGAACUGAAACAUCUAAGUAGCCGGAGGAAGAGAAAACAAUAGUGAUUCCGUCAGUAGUGGCGAGCGAACGCGGAAGAGCCUAAACCGUAGGAUUUAUCCUACGGGGUUGUGGGGCGUUUCAUAUAGGAGUUACAAAAGACAGAUGUAGGUGAACAGUUUGGGAAGACUGACCAAAGAGCGUGAUAGUCGCGUAACCCAAACAUCUGUCUCUCCGAGACCAACCCCGAGUAGCGCGGGACACGUGAAAUCCCGUGUGAAUCUGGCAGGACCAUCUGCUAAGGCUAAAUACUACCUAACGACCGAUAGUGAACCAGUACCGUGAGGGAAAGGUGAAAAGCACCCCGGGAGGGGAGUGAAAUAGUACCUGAAACCGUGUGCUUACAAAUAGUCGGAGCACUUUCUAUGUGUGACGGCGUGCCUUUUGUAGAAUGAACCGGCGAGUUACGAUAGCGUGCGAGGUUAAGUCGAAGAGACGGAGCCGUAGCGAAAGCGAGUCUGAAUAGGGCGAAAGUACGUUGUCGUAGACCCGAAACCGUGUGAUCUAGCCAUGUCCAGGGUGAAGGUAGGGUAACACCUACUGGAGGCCCGAACCCACGCACGUUGAAAAGUGCGGGGAUGAGGUGUGGCUAGCGGUGAAAUUCCAAUCGAACUCGGAGAUAGCUGGUUCUCCCCGAAAUAGCUUUAGGGCUAGCCUCGGAAUAAAGAGUCUUGGAGGUAGAGCACUGAUUGGACUAGGGGCCCUCAUCGGGUUACCGAAUUCAGUCAAACUCCGAAUGCCAAGUACUUAUGUCCGGGAGUCAGACGGUGAGUGCUAAGAUCCAUCGUCAAAAGGGAAACAGCCCAGACCAUCAGCUAAGGCCCCCAAGUGUAUGUUAAGUGGGAAACGAUGUGGAGUUGCCCAGACAACCAGGAUGUUGGCUUAGAAGCAGCCACCAUUUAAAGAGUGCGUAAUAGCUCACUGGUCGAGUGACUCUGCGCGGAAAAUGUAACGGGGCUAAACAUACCGCCGAAGCUAUGGCAGUCCUUACGGACUGGGUAGGGGAGCGUUCCAAGCAGCAGUGAAGCCGUAUCGUGAGGAGCGGUGGAGCGCUUGGAAGUGAGAAUGCCGGUGUAAGUAGCGAAAAGACAAGUGAGAAUCUUGUCCACCGAAAGCCUAAGGUUUCCUGGGGAAGGCUCGUCCUCCCAGGGUUAGUCGGGACCUAAGCUGAGGCCGAAAGGCGUAGGCGAUGGACAACUGGUUGAUAUUCCAGUACCACCUCUGUUCCGCUUGAGCAAUGGCGUGACGCAGGAGGAUAGGGUGAGCGGCCUAUUGGAUGGCCGUCUAAGCAGUAAGUGUGGUGUGUAGGCAAAUCCGCACACCAUCAAGCACAAGCUGUGAUGGCGAGGGAAAUAUAAGUACCGAAGUCCCUGAUUUCACACUGCCAAGAAAAGCGUCUAGCGAGGAACAAGGUGCCCGUACCGCAAACCGACACAGGUAGGCGAGGAGAGAAUCCUAAGGUGCGCGGGAUAACUCUUGCUAAGGAACUCGGCAAAAUGGCCCCGUAACUUCGGGAGAAGGGGCGCCUCGGUAGGGUUUAUAGCCCGAGGAGGCCGCAGUGAAAAGGCCCAAGCGACUGUUUAGCAAAAACACAGGUCUCUGCGAAGCCGCAAGGCGAAGUAUAGGGGCUGACGCCUGCCCGGUGCUGGAAGGUUAAGGGGAUGAGUUAGCGCAAGCGAAGCUUUGAACCGAAGCCCCAGUAAACGGCGGCCGUAACUAUAACGGUCCUAAGGUAGCGAAAUUCCUUGUCGGGUAAGUUCCGACCCGCACGAAAGGCGUAACGACUUGGGCGCUGUCUCGGCAAGAGACCCGGUGAAAUCAUAAUACCUGUGAAGAUGCAGGUUACCCGCGACAAGACGGAAAGACCCCAUGGAGCUUUACUGUAGCCUGGUAUUGAAACUUUGUGCAUCAUGUACAGAAUAGGUGGGAAGCUGUGAAGCGAGGGCGCCAGCCUUCGUGGAGCUGUCGUUGGGAUACCACCCUUGAUGUACGGAGUUUCUAACUUGCCGCCCUUAUCGGGUGGAAGGACCAUGCCAGGUGGGCAGUUUGACUGGGGCGGUCGCCUCCCUAAAGAGUAACGGAGGCGCCCAAAGGUUCCCUCAGAAUGGUCGGAAAUCAUUCGUAGAGUGUAAAGGCACAAGGGAGCUUGACUGCGAGACCUACAAGUCGAGCAGGGACGAAAGUCGGGCUUAGUGAUCCGGUGGUUCCGCAUGGAAGGGCCAUCGCUCAACGGAUAAAAGCUACCCUGGGGAUAACAGGCUUAUCUCCCCCAAGAGUCCACAUCGACGGGGAGGUUUGGCACCUCGAUGUCGGCUCAUCGCAUCCUGGGGCUGAAGUAGGUCCCAAGGGUUGGGCUGUUCGCCCAUUAAAGCGGUACGCGAGCUGGGUUCAGAACGUCGUGAGACAGUUCGGUCCCUAUCUGUCGCGGGCGUAGGAAGUUUGAGGAGAGCUGUCCUUAGUACGAGAGGACCGGGAUGGACGCACCUCUGGUGCACCAGUUGUCACGCCAGUGGCACAGCUGGGUAGCUAUGUGCGGACGGGAUAAGCGCUGAAAGCAUCUAAGCGUGAAGCCCCCUUCAAGAUGAGACUUCCCAUAGCGCAAGCUAGUAAGACCCCUUAUAGACGAUGAGGUUGAUAGGUUCGGUGUGGAAGUGCAGUAAUGCAUGGAGCUGACGAAUACUAAUCGGUCGAGGACUUAUCCACA
rnacentral:rRNA from 1 species